rnacentral:rRNA from 1 species
AUUGAACGCUGGCGGCAUGCCUUACACAUGCAAGUCGGACGAGUGGCGGACGGGUGAGUAACGUCUCGGAACGUACCUAAUCAUGGGGGAUAACUGUUCGAAACGAUAGCUAAUACCGCAUACUAUUCGAUCGGCCGAUGUGGGAUUAGCUGGUUGGCGGGGUAAAGGCUCACCAAGGCGACGAUCACUAGCGGGUCUGAGAGGAUGAUCCGCCACACUGGGACUGAGACACGGUCCAGACUCCUACGGGAGGCAGCAGUGGGGAAUUUUGGACAAUGGGCGCAAGCCUGAUCCAGCCAUGCCGCGUGUCUGAAGAAGGCCUUCGGGUUGUAAAGGACUUUUGUCAGGGAAGCGGUACCUGAAGAAUAAGCACCGGCUAACUACGUGCCAGCAGCCGCGGUAAUAC